AACUCAUGCAUAAAAAGAAAAUGUCAUAUACCCUAUUUUCAUUUGGGUAUCCAAUACAUAUGUAUUUGCAAACACAUCGUUUCAUUUUUAGAUAUGCAUUUAACAUGCACUAUAGAUCUCCAAGGAUCUCAAUAUGGAUCUAAUUAGUGUGGAUCUCAUUAUUUUCAUGAGUAUUAUUUUAUAUCUCAUGAAAAAUUUAAAAUCAAAUUCAUCCUCAAACAGAAACUUGCUUAAUAGCAAACUAGCUUUGUUUGAUCCUCAAAUGAACAAAUAACAUAAUAUGCUUGGAUCUAAUAUAAAUAAGAUAUGAAUGUUUAACCAUAUAUCCAAAUAUAUAUUCAAAUCCGAAUCAAUGAUGUAUAUAAGGUGGAUCUCAAACAAUGAAUAGAUCCAAUUCCAAAAGCCACAUGAAUAUAAAGAUUCAGAUUAUAUUAGUAUAGAUCCAAACCAGAAACAUCCACAAUACAAUUAAUAUGAGUUUAAAACACAUGAUCCUCAUUGAAAUAUUAUACAAUAUGAUUCAACAACCAUAUUUGGAUCAUUGCUAACCCAUCUCUCUUUUGAGAAAAACAAGUUAUAAUGUAUUAGCACUUUGUGCUACAAAGCUUCAAACAAAUGCAUUUUUGCCAAUAUUAAUUUUGGUCCAAGAGUAUUAUAUUACAUCUCUUGAGUAUGCAUUAAAACAAAUUCAUUUUCCUAAGAAAGAAAGGCAAAUGAAGCUUUAUUCAAUGAUUUUUAAGAAUAACCUUUGGAUCUAGAAUGACAACACGUAUUGCAUUGCAGUAUGAUCAUAUCCAAAGGCAACCAUGAUAACAUAUAUUGGAACUAAAACAACAGGAUAUGAAUUAUUCUCACAUAUCCAAACAAGUCAGUUUAGAUCUGAAGCUAAACUUUACGUAAUGGGGAUUUCAUUAGUUCAAAUAUGGAAAUUUAGAUCCAACCAGCAAUAUCCACAAUACAAUAAUCUGAAUUUAAAAAACACAAAUGAUCCAUAUGAAGUAUUGUGCACUAUGAUUUCAAUAACCAUGCUUGGAUCUAAACAAUAGUCCAACUUUUGAACAAGGUGAAACAAGAAAAAUUUCUCUACCUUGAGAUGAUGCAUGUUUGUACCCAAACUAAUCCAUCACCCUUAAGAGUAAAUAAAGCAAGUCUUUAAAUCAAGACAUUCAAAUUUAUACGGGUUUCAGUCCAAGAGUGUUACAUUACACCUCUUGAAUAUAUAUUUUUAAACAAGUUCACCUCAUUAAUGGAAUAAAUAAAGCAUUGUUCAAUAGCACUCUAGAAUGAUUUGAAUCUAAAAGGACAACAAAUAUCACAAUAUCAUUGGAUCCAAAAAGCAAACAUGAUAUAUUGUGUUUAGUAACAGUACGAGAAUUUGGAUCCAAUGAUUCAACCAAGUUAAUUUGGAUCUUAAUGUAUCACGACCCAACAUAAUGUUAUAAGGAUCUCACCAUGUCUAAGAGUGUUGAUUUACACCUCUUAGCAUAUCAACAUGCGAUAACAUAAUCAUUCCUUCUAACUGGAAUUCAUCUUUAGCACUCUAGUGUUACACAUUGCAAAAGUACAACUUGUAAAACCAUUAGAUCUAAAAAUCAAAGCUCAUAAUAUGUUUAGAUCUAAUAUAGAUCUUGAACAAGUCAAAUCAGAUCAUGCUCCAAAAGAGUGCAACGUUUAGUGUGAGAUCCAAAUUCAACAACUGAAUAUGGAUUUUGAAAACAAAAGUUUUGGUCAUAUCUAAUAUUUGCAUAGACCCAAAAUUAAGAUGAAUAUUCAUAAAUCAAGUAUAAUAACAUAUACUUGAACCAACAUAAACAUGAUAUGGGUUUUUAACCAAUAUCCAAACAAAUUUAGAUCUGAAUAUCUCAUGAUUCAAACUGAAUACAAAUAUGGAUCUUAGGCAACAAUCAGAUCCAAAGCAAAAAUCCAAAUAAUUAUUUAAAUUCAGAUCUUACUCAUGUGGAUCCACAUACAAUAAUAUCAACACUAUAAUUGAUAUGUAUUUAAACAAAUAAAGAGGAUCCAAAUUUAAAUUUAAUAUGAAUGUUUUUCAACAUAAUAUCCAUAUCCAAAUACGACACAAGGUUUAUAACGUCAUUGGGUCAUGCACACACAAAAUACCAAAAUUGCAUAAUCAUACAUACCUGUUGCUAACUAUUUUUCAGUUUUUACCUUAACUCCCACUCUUGAAGACAUUACUAAAUUAAUUUCAUAACAAGUAUAAAACAAUAACAAGGAGAAUAAUAUAUCAAGGAUUUCCAAAGCCUUUCUAAGAUAUCACUUAAAACAAGGAAAACCCAUAUUAAUUUUUUUUUUUUUCGUGAGUUUCCCUUCUUAUUUCCAAACUGUCUUGGGAACCCUUUUCUAUAAUAUUAAUAAGCUUGAGUGGUACUUGUAUGCAAUUUUACAAAACAGCUCGGUCUUCUACCGAAAUUAUAAAACAAUUUUCUGGAACCCUCUUUCAGAAAUUUAUAAUAAGUUUGAGGGUAUUACCAUGCAAUUUCAUUUAAAAUCACGGUCUUCUGCUGAAAUUGCAAAAUAAUUUAUCGAAACCCUCUUUUAGAUAAUUAUAAUAAGUCAGAGGGUACCAUUGCGCAAUUUCGUAUAAAUUUCUAGGUUUUCACCGAAAUUAACUUUCGCAAACCUCUUUUUGAAAACGUUUUUCGCAAAAACGUUGCGGCAUUAAUUUAUCAAAAUUGUAACAGUGUUUUUGCAAAUUAUGCAAAACUGGUGGCCUGUUGUAAUUUUCACACUUUUGGUAUAAAUACCCCUCCGAACCGUUUUUUCACUCAUUUUUCGCUCGAUCUUCUCUCUCCUCGAGCGAGAGCUGCCUCCUCUUCCUCUCAUCUCGUCCGGCGGUGGAGCUCCCAUCGCCGCCACCGCCUUCUCCCUCUUCGUCCUCGCGCCUCACCCGACGGUGCUGCUUCCACCGGCGCGACCUCCCUCCUCUCGCUCGUCCGGCGAAGGCUUCUUCCUCAACUCUCCAUCCCCAAAAUCAGAGAGGAGAAGCUCCCCGGCUCACGCGAGAGUUCCCUCCUCGCCUGAUUCGCCCGACGGUGGAGCUUCCGUCGUCCUCCACCAUUCCUUCAGCCACCCAAAGCCAGCCCGAGCGGGAGAGGAAGCUCCGAUAGUGGGUUUCCACACCACCGCCUCCUCUGCUCACGGUUUCCAGCAUCGUCAACAGGGGGAAUCCGGCAGGAGAAAGGGAUGACAGGAGGAGUUCUGCUCGACGGGCGUUCCUUAUUUUCCCCAAAUCAUCUCUGCCACUCGUAUGAGGCAAAAGACUAGUUUCCAGUCGGGUGGACGAUUCCCUCCACUUGUUGAUGGAUGCAAUGACAGAGCCAAAAAUUUGAUGCUGAGGGGCCCCGAUCAGCUGGGGCGGAGCAAGGAUUUUGUUUCGGGGCAGGCCAAAUUGUUCAACCUCGGAUCUGGGUACAGAACCCAAAUAAAAAAAAUACAUUGCACAACUAACAAUUUUUUAUUUUUCAAAUGUAUUUUUUUUUAAGUUAGUUAGGGUGGGGCCAUGGCCUAAGCAGGCCCCCACCUCCCUCUGCCCCUGUCGAUCAAUCUCAUUGGUUAAAUGGGUUAGGCACUAACCCAGGCCUCGUGUGGACAUUGCAUUUGCUGAACUUGGGUCCAACUCCAUUGUAUUAGAAGUUUUAAAGGACUGGUGUAGGCAGUGGCCCACACCAGUCUAUAUAUAGUAGCUCCACUAAUGGAUGAAUAGAUGGUAGAAAGAAAAACAAGAAGAAAAAUGUAUAAAUUACUAUUAAAUGAUGGAAAAUAUCUAUCA